AUAAUUUUUGGUUAUUAUUUUAUUAGGUUAGUAUUAUUUACUCGAUCAACACACAUGCAACAACAAACAACAAAUUAUUAUCAAAGCAGUGUAGAUUUUCAUCAUUUCAAUUCGUUUAUGAAGUAUACAAAAUUUGCAAUGAUUGCGGUACCUUGGAAAAUUUAACCGUCCCGCGUUAUGUCACACACAACAUUGGAUUCGCGUGGUACAAAACAUAGCUUAUGCGAGUUAAAGUACCAGGGGAUAAGAAUGAUGGAAGAGGACAAUGCUAUGCUACUAUGACAAUGUUGUCCCGCAUCUGGUAGUUGCUGCUUGUGCCGUGGAUGCACAAACCAACCAAACCAAACGAAAAAAUGGGGAUUAGAAUAUGAAUCAAAGAACAAACGAGGACGGAUUGCAUUUUAAUUAUAAAUGGUGAAACGUCCAGCAUCCAAUCACAACAAAAGGAAUCGCGCUGUCGUUUCGUCUUCUAUUCGUCUUCUUUCUACCCAUUCAAGAAAAACAGUGCAGUAGACAUACCUCAUGAGGCCCUAAUGAUUGUUUAUUUAGUUAGGAAAUUAUCUUACCAUGGUUUGCUAUACGUAAGUACAACAGCCGCGUGUACUUAGUAUAAUUUUACAUGAUAAUUAGCUGUUCCAUAGAAUUCUAAAGCCUUUAUAUGUCAUCAAUUUGCAUUUACUUGCAUGCCGAUGGAAAUAGUAGGUAGGACCUUGAGAAGAUGCCAACAAGUUAGUAGGCCGUUGUAUACUACUUCCUCAAUAUCUUCUAUAAUACGAUAACUAAGGAAAAAUCUAAUAUUGCUUAUCGGGGCCGUAUGCUUUGUGUAUCUACAGGUUUACAGGUAAGAUUUUAUUAUAGUUUACAUUCUGGUGAA